UACGGAGGGUGCGAGCGUUGUCCGGAAUCACUGGGCGUAAAGGGCGCGUAGGCGGUCUGCUAAGCGUGCGGUGAAAGCCUGGGGCUCAACCCCAGGUCUGCCGUGCGAACUGGUGGACUAGAGCACUGUAGAGGCAGGUGGAAUUCCGGGUGUAGCGGUGGAAUGCGUAGAGAUGUGGAGGAAUACCGAGUGGCGAAAGCAGGCUUCUGGGCCAUCUCUGACGCUGAGCUGCGAAAGCUAGGGGAGCAAACAGG
rnacentral:rRNA from 1 species